ACCACAAGAGCUUUUCAGCGUAUCCCAGAGCCAUCGAGGACUAAAUAAAUCCAUCAUCGUUCCCAUAGCACCACACCGUGGUCAGCUCUGGAAAGGACUAUUCAGACCUUACAGGACUAUUCAACUUUGGAAAUGCCAAACCUGGUCCUGCAAAAGAAGUUGUUAAGAAUAGCCCUGGUGGUUGUAAACCUCUGGCAUGGACUGAUCAAAGUAAUGAGCCUCAGUCUGUAAAAAUCAGGAGGGAUGAUUCUGUUCCCAUCAGCAGGAAAAUAUUAUGGAAGCCUGGCAGCAUCUGAAGCCUCUGCAGAAAGAUUUCUGAGUUUCCCACCCAGCAAUGCAUUCAGGAAAGGACACGCCAAACCUGCCCUAAAUUCCCGGACUUCAGUGCUUUAAAGUUUUGUCUUUGGAAAGAUUAACACUGCAAGGACACUGUGUCAUCCUCAGGUUUCCAACCUUUCUGGGUGACAGACAACAGCAACAUGAAGAAAAGGAAACAUCUGAAGUGAGUGUCCUGAAAUGGGGAAAUCAGAAGAUCACCCCAAAUGACACCAUGGACAGCCGAGGCUCUAAACUCAGGUGAAGUUGGGUUUUACUUGGGAGAACUCCCUUUAGAAAAAUUGUAUUGUAAGAAACCUAUGUUGAUGAGGGUUGCUGUGGAAAACAAACGGUCCCCAAAACUAUGUUUUUCUGUUUAACCAAAAAAACCAAACCAAAACUGAACUUAUCUUUUUGAUCUUUCAGAAUUCAUAUUUUGUUACCCAAUGGCACAAGCACUUCUCUCCUUUAAAACACUCCUAAUUGUGGUUUUGAGUUUGUUUCAACAAGAAACUUACUGAUUGAUCAAUCAAAGGUAUUUGUAAAGAAUAAUUUGUUUGAGUUUUGCCAGCUUGGUCCCUAACAUCUCACAUAGCACAACUCUUGUAGCAUGUAGAUAAUGGAAGUGAAUGAGUAAUUUCAAUUUCGAGGUCAACAGGGUGUUUUGUGCCUAGACCCUGUUGCUGUUUGAUGCUGCUGGACCCAUCAAGCCAGAAUGCAUAUUUAAAAAGACGGAAAUCGAAGACACCUAACCAUUACUUAAUGAUAUACACAUGUCAGCUGCCAAAGGAGCAUCCCCCUGAUGUCUGGGGUGUAAAUGCAGCCGUGUCUUGAGACUGGGACAAGAGGUGCUAUCAAGACAGCAUUCAUCAGGGGCUGAGAAGGGAGUUUUGAAUCACUAGCAAGUUUGCUGCAUCGACACCAUCACCCAGUCCUGUUGCCACUCGUUUUCUUUCCCCCCAUCCUCACAGAGAUGCUACAAGGAUUUAGUGGUCUAUCUGUCUGGCUGCAAGAGCUUGGAGUCAAAUGUCUACUCAGCAUGCAGUUCUACAAGACACAAGCAAUGGAAUACUGAGAAAGUUUUGAAUGGAUCCGGUUCUGGUUGAAGGAAACAGAACUUCCCCAAUGUUCUCUUAAGAAUUCUGCCUAUUUAAGUGGAAUGGGACCAAUCCAUACUUAAGCAAAUAUUCCAGUACUAGCAAAAAUGUAGUUUCCAGUAGUUUCCUGUAAAAUGUAUUCAUAUAUUUUAAUUCCAAAUAUUUGUAAUUAUAAACAACGAUGAC
rnacentral:lncRNA from 7 species